AUAUAGUAAAUACAUUGUUAUUGUAUCAAUAUAAAUAUAUAAUGAAAUAUAUUUAAUAAUAUUGGCUGACAAAUCGAUUUGUCAAUCAAUAUGACCACUUUGCAAAGAAUCGUUUUUCGUGUAUAAUAAUGUAUUAUUUAAUUCAAAUCAGAACCGGCUCAAGUGUUUCAAUACACUUAGGCAAACUUGAGUUUUGCCACCCCUUACAUACUACAUCAAACAUUUUUUUUUAUCUAUAAUACGAAAAUAUUAAAUGCCGCUCUAGGCGUGGGCCUAUGUCACCUACCCCUUGAGCUGUGUCUGAUUCAAAUACAUAUGCAUUAUAGUAACUUAUAUAACUCAACGACUAGGACACGCGACACCUAUUUUACAAUAGAGUGGUUAUACUUACUUGCCUACUUUUAUAAAUUUCUAUUCUUACCAAGUGACGAUGAUUGAAAAUAAAACGUUAUGUCAAAUAUAAUAGUUUUUUUUUAAAAAUUUGAAUUAAUCUUUAGAUUAUAAAAUGUAAUAUAAUUUCUGACGUGCAGAUUACAAUGCAAUAGUUUAUUUUUGAAGUUUUAACAUGACGUGGAAAUACCAAUAUUUCAUUUUUACGACAUUUACCUAUGAUAAAUUGGAGUGAUAACUGAAUAUCUUAAUAUUUAAUAAUGUGAUUGUACAAUACGACGUUCACCGAACAAUGAAAAUGACGUUUGUAUUGAUGUUAAGCAUUGUAAAAAGUUGCGAAUGCUGCUGGAAAACUAGAGACAAAUCCUAUUAAUCAUGGCUUUUCUGAAGAAAUCCUUUUGUGGACACGAAAAUGGAAUUACAAAAUUAUUCUAUGACUUGGAAAAUACAUUUUCAGAUGAAUUGAAACCAAUCAACAUAAAAGAGUCUUUAAGUGGUAUAAAGAUUAAAUUAUAAAAAUUUCCAUCACAAAAAACGUGCGCCAACAUAUAGUAAUUCCAUUAACAAUCGAAUAUCUUGCGGGAUACAAUCUAUAUUAGGAUCUUGACCUUCAAUGAUGUUCAUAGCAUACCAGGAUUUAAAAUAUAGUCAAAAAUUACAUUGGCUGUGUGAUGUUGAUUAAAAAAUAUACACGUAUUAAAGCGGCGCAAUGUAUAGCUAUUCGAAACACUGUUAGAUUCUAAGUAAUUACAGUAUAUCUUAAGUACAUUGCACAUCCGUUUCAAUAUAUUUUAAAACAGUGGUGCGCUUAGGAGAUUUGUAUUUGGAUUUUAAUGUCAACGAUGAAGCAACACCGUUAGAUGUUCAAAUGGAUAGUAUGAUACACGAGAUGUACAGCACUCGAAAAAACAUUAAUGCCAUUGCGAUAUUGAAAUGAAAAGACGGCGUUUCCUAAGACAGUAAUUAAACUAAUUUUAUGACUGGAUGGCAUAAUAUAUAUUAUAAUAAUUCGAAUCUUAAGUUAAUAAUGCGUUUGCUAUAUUUAUGUAGGUAUUCGAAAGAUUAUAUUUAUUUGUUUAAAAACGAUUUUUUGAUUUAAGAUUAAAAUUUAUUUUAUUUGAGAACAAGAGUUCUUCGAUUGCUUGAAAUGGUUAUAGAGAAUGGCUAUUUAGUGUUAUAAAAUGAUUAUAGACUAAUGAGUAAUGAUACAUUUGUUAAGCUCGUCACGUAACAUGAAAAGACCAAAAUAUGUCCUUUUAAAACAGGAUUGUUUAUUUUUUGAGAACCAUACUAUGACCAUUAUACCAACAAACCUCCAUAUUAUUAUAAGGGCAUAAAAAAAAAGACUUGUACACGAUAUAAAAUUUAGUGAAUAUUUUUACAGUUUUAUAUUAUUAAAAGAUUAUUGAAACGAUUAUUGUCAAUAAAUAUAAACAACAGAUGAACUUCGAAUGUAGUUAAAAAAUUGUGAUGUAUUGAGUAUGUAUAUUGCACAGUCUUAGUAUUAUGAAUCUAUACGGCUUUAGUAAUUUUGAUCACAACCCUUAGCUAACAAAUAAAUAUCAUUUGCUAAAUAUUUUUGGAAAUAUAAAAAUAUUAUAUUGUUUUUGGAGAUUUUUUUUUUUAGAGUUAAGCUUAAAUUGUUUGUCUGUUCUAUAUUUAUAUAAAUAUGAUUAUCUUACUGCAUAACAUAAUUAUACUUAAAAAUAAAAUAUUGAACUACGUUAGCCCAAAGCUUAGUAUACGACGACCAACUACACAAAUAAAAAACAGGUUUUUGAUUUAAUAACAUUAUAAUAUGAGUAAGUAUGUAAAUAUUUUUAUUUUGAUCACCGCAAGUACAAAAACGCAGCCAGAGUAAUGCUACAAUUUUUUUCACACAUUUGUUUACAGCUUAAAUAUUUUUACAUCUUUAAUAAUUAUUAACAAUAUAUUAUUAAUACUACAGGUUUUACAUAUGAAAUAUCAGAUGGAUCGUGUGUACAGAUUGCGUUUCCACGUAAAAUAAAUUGUACCCAUACUCAAAAUAAGUAUUUUUUAUGCAGGUGGUUUGUUUAACUGGUAGGUAAUAGUUACAUACAAAUUAAAAAUAGCAGUGAGCUCAAAAUUAAUAAUCUUUUCGUUUCAAUUUUUAUAAUGGGAUAAUCGACAAAUGAAGGACGAAUACAGUAAUUAAAAUCUGGUUUGUAACGAAAUAUCUAAAAUAAUUUAAUGUUCUCAUUUAAAAACACAAAAAAACGAUCUUACGAUGAUCGUUAAAUUUUAAAGUAAUUUAUAUUUUGAUUACGGCAUAUCAUUUUUCAUUAUCAUAUUAUAAAGCUAAAUGCGUAGUAUAUUAAUAAAUACAUCAU